rnacentral:miRNA from 1 species
UAUGGGCCCUCCUGGCAUUCUUG